GAAAAUGAAGAGUUGAAAAAAAUAAAUGCAAAACAAAAGUAUCGAAUUGAGCACUU
rnacentral:sRNA from 12 species